UACGUAGGGCGCAAGCGUUGUCCGGAAUUAUUGGGCGUAAAGAGCUCGUAGGCGGUUUGUUGCGUCGGCUGUGAAAUCCCGAGGCUCAACCUCGGGUCUGCAGUCGAUACGAGCAAACUAGAGUGUUGCAGGGGAGACUGGAAUUCCUGGUGUAGCGGUGAAAUGCGCAGAUAUCAGGAAGAACACCCGUGGCGAAGGCGGCUCUCUGGAACGCAACUGACGCUGAGACGCGAAAGCGUGGGGAGCAAACAGG
rnacentral:rRNA from 1 species